UACGGAGGGGGCUAGCGUUGUUCGGAAUUACUGGGCGUAAAGCGCACGUAGGCGGCUUUGUAAGUUAGAGGUGAAAGCCCGGGGCUCAACUCCGGAAUUGCCUUUAAGACUGCAUCGCUAGAAUUGUGGAGAGGUAAGUGGAAUUCCGAGUGUAGAGGUGAAAUUCGUAGAUAUUCGGAAGAACCCCAGUGGCGAAGGCGGCUCACUGGCCCGGUUCUGACGCUGAGGUGCGAAAGCGUGGGGAGCAAACAGG
rnacentral:rRNA from 1 species